rnacentral:rRNA from 1 species
GACGAACGCUGGCGGCGUGCCUAAUACAUGCAAGUAGAACGCAGUUGCGCACGUGUGAGUAACGCGUAGGUAACUGCCUCCUAGAGGGGGAUAACUAUUGAAAACGAUAGCUAAUACCGCAUCCUGUGAGCUGGACCUGCGUUGUAUUAGGUAGUUGGUGAGGGAAAGGCUCACCAGGGCGACGAUACAUAGCCGACCUGCGAGGGGGAGCGGCAACACUGGGAAUGAGACACGGCCAAGACGCCGACGGGAGGCAGCAGUAGGGAAGCUGCGGCAAUGGACGGAAGUCUGACCGAGCAACGCCGCGGUAGUGAAGAAGGUUGGCGGAGCGUAAAGCGCUGUGGUGAGAGAAGCGGUAACUAACCAGAAAGGGACGGCUAACUACGUGCCAGCAGCCGCGGUAAUUC